GUAAAUGUAAGAAAGGAUUCAUUUCGCAACACCUACGGCUUCCACUAGAUGUCAACGAUCUUUAUAAAGUUGUUUGAAGCGUCUAUGAUAAACAGAGAGCAAAUUAGAAUCCAAGGAAGUUGACAUGUCAUCACUUCAUUUUUUUGCGCCUGCGCAUAAAUCUGAGAAACGUGAGUUUUGUCUUCAUUGUUUAUCUCGACAUAGGAUAGGUUGUGUGAAAAUAUUACUGAUGUUUAACGUUAAAAAUGGACCAAAAGAUUAAUGCUAAACAACAUUUGACAUGUUUGAACGAACAUAAAUAGAUUAUUUACUAGGUUUUUUUAGCUUUUCGGGCGUGAUUUUACAGUCCCCCACCAUGUUUUGUGGGAGCAUAAUGAACGCUAAGUACUUGGUGUUAUUUGGACAUAAAUUAUGAACUUUGUCAAAAGAAACCACAUUUGUUCCGGACCUGGGAUGCCUUCCGGACCUGGGAUGCCUGUCUUCUGAUGGAGAUAAUCAAAGAAUACUGCCUCACAAAAUGGAAGCAGCAGCCAACCGAGACAUCUUCCAGAUGGUCCAAUAACAGGAAGAUCUACUUCGCCAAGACCACGACCAGCUGGGGCAACUGGAGACGGCUAUGGAUGAGGUCCUCCGUGUUCUUCAACAUCUAGAUCUUCAUCAAGAGGACUCACCUCCAACGAGUCGGAGGAUCCUAUACCAUGAGUCGACCCAGAAAGCCAGCACUUCAGCCCAUUCAACAAUUCGCCCAGGUCAGCGAUGUCCGCUUGUCAAAUAUGAUGGGACUCCAUCUAAAUGCUGUGGCUUCCUCCUCCAGUGCUCCCUCUAUUUCACUCAUCAGAUGGGAGCCCCCCACCAACGAGAGGUCCAAGGUUGCAAUGGUUAUUUCCCUGCUGACCGGGCGGGCAUUGGAGUGUGCUACAGCCAUCUGGGAGAGAGAAGAUGAGGAGCUGGGUUCCUAUGACAGGUUCAAGGCUCUGUUCAGAGGAAUCUUUGAUCAUCCACCGGAGGGCAGAGUGGGGGGUGAGAGCCUACUCCAACUACGGCAGGAAUCCAGACCGCUGCGCAGUACGCCCUCACCUUCCGUACAGUGGCAGAAUACAGCGGAUGGAAUGAGGCGGCGCUCCGUACCUUAUUUAGAAGACAAUUGCGCAAAGAGGUCCAGACGGAGUUGCCAUGCAGAGACAACACCCUCUCGUUGGAUGCCAUCCAUCUAGAGCCUGAACCCAUGGAGGUAGGGGCCACAUGCCUCCCCGCGGCUGAGCGUGGCCAUCGGAGACGGCUUGGGCUCUGUCCCUUUUGUGGUCUGGAGGGGCACCAGCUUCAACGGUGUCCACUACGUCCCAACCCGGGAUCCACUAGAGCAGGGGGACGGCCCUGUGAUCAUCCUUCUCCUGGUGUAGGCGUGAGAAUUCUAUCAUCACUUUCCGUCAAACCCUUUUUAGUACCGAUUUCACUAGCUGGCUGUCCCUCAUGUGUUGUUUCUACAGUUCUAGUGGAUUCCGGUGCCGCGGGGACAUUUUAUUGACCAGGCCCUUGCUUCCCUCCCUUAACAUAACUUUAUACCCGCUCUCCUCUCCGUGGCAAGCGCUGGAUAAUUGACCACUGGGAUCUGGGACAAUCACACACAUCACAGAACCACUCACUAUCACAGUGGGACUCCUGCACCAGGAGAGCCCUUACUCAUCAUCAAGGCACCCAUACACAGCAGGUAGCCUAGUGGUUAGAGCGUUGGGCCAGUAACCGAAAUUCGAACUCCCGAGCUGACAAGGCGGUCCACCUUCCUUGUGGCUCUCUCUUCUCCUGUAUCUCCAAGGCAUAGCCAUUGGUCUCCUCCACUGUCUCCCAACAGCUCCUCUGUUAAAAACAACUUGAAGGACUCUGCCUCAGAGGGAGAUGGCAAGGGGCUUUGCACUCCAGACUGGGACUCAUCAAAG
rnacentral:lncRNA from 1 species